rnacentral:rRNA from 1 species
CUACCAUGCAGUCGAGCGGAUGACUGAAGCUUGGUCUCUGAUUCGACGACGGACGGAUGAGUGAUGCCUGUGAGUCUGCCUGGUUGUGGGGGGUAACUUUUCGAAGGGAACGCUAAUACCUCCCACAUCCUACCGGAGAAAGUGGGGGAUCUUCCUUCCUCCCUCUUGCCAAUGAACCUAGGUCGGAUUAACUAGUUGGUGGGUGGAUGGCCCACCCAGGUAACCAACCAUCCCUGGUCUGACUGAAUGAACAACCACACUGGAACUGACUGACAGUCCAUACUCACUCCUACGGCAGGCAUGGGGAAUAUUGAUUGAUGAAUGAAAGCCUGAUCCAUCCAUGCCUGCCGUGUGAAUAAGGACUUCCUUUUGUAUAGAACUUUAUUUUGGGAGGAAGGAAAGUGAGUUGAUACCUUGCUGUUUUGACUUUACCUACCCAAUAAACACCCACUAACUUCGUGCCUGCCGCCGCGGUAAUACAUAGGGAGCAUGCGUUAAUCGGAAUUACUUACUGUAAAUCGCGCGUCGUGGUUCAUCAAGUUGGAUGUGAAAGCCCCGGGCUCAACCUGGGAAUUGCAUCCAAAACUACCUGAGCUAGAGUACGGUAGAGGGUGGUGGAAUUUCAUGUGUAGCGGUGAAAUGCAUGCGAUAUAGGAAGGAACACCACCGGUGGCGAAGGCGACCCCCUGGACUGAUACUGACACUCAGGUGCGAAAGCGUGGGUGAGCAAACAGGAUUAGAUACCCUGGCUAGUCCACGCCGUAAACGAUGUCGACUAGGAGGUGGGAUCCUUGAGAUGUGAGUGCCGCAGCUAACGCGUUAAGUCGACCGCCUGGGGAGUACGGCCGCAAGGUUAAAACUCAAAUGAAUUGACGGGGGCCCGCACAAGCGGUGGAGCAUGUGGUUUAAUUCGAAGCAACGCGAAGAACCUUACCUGGUCUUGACAUCCAGAGAACUUUCCAGAGAUGGAUUGGUGCCUUCGGGAACUCUGACACAGGUGCUGCAUGGCUGUCGUCAGCUCGUGUUGUGAGAUGUUGGGUUAAGUCCCGUAACGAGCGCAACCCUUGUCCUUAGUUGCCAGCACUUCGGCUGGGCACUCUAAGGAGACUGCCGGUGACAACCGGAGGAAGGUGGGGAUGACGUCAAGUCAUCAUGGCCCUACGGCCAGGGCUACACACGUGCUACAAUGGUCGGUACAAAGGGAAGCAAGUCGCGAGGUGGAGCUAAUCCCAUAAAACCGAUCGUAGUCCGAUCGCAGUCUGCAACUCGACUCCAGAAGUCGGAAUCGCUAGUAAUCGUGAAUCAGAAUGUCACGGGGAAUACGUUCCCCGGCCUUGUACCCCCCCCCCGGCCCCCCCAGGGAAUGGGGUGGUCCAGAAGUAAGUAGUCUAACCGCAAGGAGACG